rnacentral:rRNA from 1 species
GACGAACGCUGGCGGCGUGCUUAACACAUGCAAGUCGAACGGAAAGGCCCUGCUUUUGUGGGGUGCUCGAGUGGCGAACGGGUGAGUAACACGUGAGUAACCUUCCCUUGACUUUGGGAAAACUUCAGGAAACUGGGGCUAUUACCGGUUAGGAGUUCCUGCUGCAGGGGGGGGGUUGGAAGGUUUCGGCGGUUGGGGUUGGCCUUGCGGCUUAUCAGCUUGUGGGUGGGGUAGUGGCUUCCCAGGGCUUUGCCGGGUAGCCGGCCUGAGAGGGGGACCGGCGACAUUGGGCCUGAGAUACGCCCCAGACUCGUACGGGAGGCAGCAGUGGGGAAUAUUGCACAAUGGGCGGAAGCCUGAGGCAGAAACGCCGCGUGCGGGAUGACGGCCUUCGGGGUGUAAACCGCUUUCGCCUGUGACGAAGCGGGAGUGACGGUAAUGGGUAAAGAAGCACCGGCUAACUACGUG